GGAUCGCUAGCUCAAUGGUAGAGCACCGCCCUCUUAAGGCGGCUGUUCAGGGUUCGAGUCCCUGGCGAUCCACCA
rnacentral:tRNA from 3 species